GGGUUGUGAGGUUAAGCGACUAAGCGUACACGGUGGAUGCCCUGGCAGUCAGAGGCGAUGAAGGACGUGCUAAUCUGCGAUAAGCGUCGGUGAGGUGAUAUGAACCGUUAUAACCGGCGAUUUCCGAAUGGGGAAACCCAGUGUGUUUCGACACACUAUCAUUAACUGAAUCCAUAGGUUAAUGAGGCGAACCGGGGGAACUGAAACAUCUAAGUACCCCGAGGAAAAGAAAUCAACCGAGAUUCCCCCAGUAGCGGCGAGCGAACGGGGAGCAGCCCAGAGCCUGAAUCAGUGUGUGUGUUAGUGGAAGCGUCUGGAAAGGCGCGCGAUACAGGGUGACAGCCCCGUACACAAAAAUGCACAUGCUGUGAGCUCGAUGAGUAGGGCGGGACACGUGGUAUCCUGUCUGAAUAUGGGGGGACCAUCCUCCAAGGCUAAAUACUCCUGACUGACCGAUAGUGAACCAGUACCGUGAGGGAAAGGCGAAAAGAACCCCGGCGAGGGGAGUGAAAAAGAACCUGAAACCGUGUACGUACAAGCAGUGGGAGCCUCUUU
rnacentral:rRNA from 1 species